CCUACGGGAGGCAGCAGUAGGGAAUAUUGGGCAAUGGAGGCAACUCUGACCCAGCCAUGCCGCGUGCAGGAUGAAGGCGUUAUGCGUUGUAAACUGCUUUUAUAUAGGAAGAAAUAGACCUUGCGAGGUAAGUUGACGGUACUAUAUGAAUAAGCACCGGCUAACUCCGUGCCAGCAGCCGCGGUAAUACGGAGGGUGCAAGCGUUGUCCGGAUUUAUUGGGUUUAAAGGGUGCGUAGGCGGUUUAUAAGUCAGUGGUGAAAGACGGUCGCUCAACGAUUGCAGUGCCAUUGAUACUGGUAGACUUGAGUAUGAUUGAGGUAGCUGGAAUGGAUAGUGUAGCGGUGAAAUGCAUAGAUAUUAUCCAGAACACCAAUUGCGUAGGCAAGUUACUAAGUCAUAACUGACGCUGAGGCACGAAAGUGUGGGUAUCAAACAGGAUUAGAUACCCUGGUAGUCCACACUGUAAACGAUGAUAACUAACUGUUGGCUUUCGGGUCAGUGGUACAGAGAAAUCGUUAAGUUAUCCACCUGGGGAGUACGCCGGCAACGGUGAAACUUAAAUGAAAUUGACGG
rnacentral:rRNA from 1 species